CCCUUAGAUGUUCUGGGCCGCACGCGCGCUACACUGAUGCAUUCAACGAGCCUAUCCUUGACCGACAGGUCCGGGUAAUCUUUGAAUCUGCAUCGUGACGGGGAUAGAUUAUUGCAAUUAUUAAUCUUCAACGAGGAAUGCCUAGUAGGCGCAAGUCAUCAGCUUGCGUCGAUUACGUCCCUGCCCUUUGUACACACCGCCCGUCGCUCCUACCGAUUGGGUGUGCUGGUGAAAUGUUCGGAUCGGCCGUUUGUCGCGGUUUCCGCGUCAUGUGGCUGGGAAGUUCAGUAAACCCUCCCACCUAGAGGAAGGAGAAGUCGUAACA
rnacentral:rRNA from 1 species